rnacentral:rRNA from 1 species
GACGAACGCUGGCGGCGUGCUUAAUACAUGCAAGUCAACCGAAACAGCGGUAGCAAUAUCGCUUUGGAGGUGGCGCACGGGGGAGUAACACGUAGGUAAUCUGCCUCCAGGUUUGGCAUAACUCCGGGAAACCGGGGCCUAUAGCCGAUGAUGCAGCGGCUCGACAUCGAGACAGUUGUUAAAUCUAUGGCGUCUGAAGAUGAGCCUGCGUCUGAUUAGUUAGUUGGCGGGGUAACGGCCCACCAAGGCAACGAGCAGGAGCUGGUCUGAGAGGUUGAUCGAGCACGCGGGCACUGAGAGACGGUCCAAACUGCGACGGAAGGCAGCAGGAGGGAGUAGUGGGGAAUGGGAGAAAUCGUGAGGCAGCAUCGCGGCGUGAGGGCCGGAGGGCGUUGGCUUGUAAACCUCUGUAGUGAGAGAAAAAGAUCCCAAUCUUGGGGACGUGACGGUACCUGAAAAAUAAGCCCCGGCUAACUACGUG